CGCGUGAGCGACAUGCCCGUUGCCCGGGGACAACCGGUGGAAACGCCGACUAAUCCCCGAUGGGAUAUUGUGCCGCAUGGCACGAUAUUGAAAGUUACGGCGGCGACGGAUUGGCUCGCGUCCGAUUAGCUUGUUGGCGGGGUAACGGCCCACCAAGGCUACGAUCGGUAGGGGUUCUGGGAGGAAGGCCCCCCACAAUGGGACUGAGACACGGCCCAUACUCCUACGGGAGGCAGCAGUGAGGAAUAUUGGUCAAUGGGCGGAAGCCUGAACCAGCCAUGCCGCGUGCGGGAAGGAGGCCCUAUGGGCUGUGAACCGCUUUUGCCUGGGGGCAAUAAGGGCGUCGCGCACGCCCGAUGAGAGUACCAGGCGAAUAAGCAUCGGCUAACUCCGUGCCAGCAGCCGCGGUAAUACGGGGGAUGCGAGCGUUAUCCGGAUUCAUUGGGUUUAAAGGGUGCGUAGGCUGUGCGUCAAGUCGGGGGUGAAAUUCCGGUGCUCAACACCGGGGC
rnacentral:rRNA from 1 species